AGGAGGCAAGUGAGAUGAGGAGCACCCUGCCACCCGAUGACGCACAAAAAUACACCACUUGAGGCAACGCCCUCAUAUCACCUCAUGGGAGCCCCACCCCAGGAUCUAAGAAGAUUAUAAUACAGCAGACAAGCAAAACUAAAAGAUCUUCAGUCAAUAUUUAAAAAUAGUGAGCUUGACGUAUCUCUCUGGGAAGAGAACUCCACAUGUACUGCAACCAUCAAAGGUCCUGUCUCUGGUGUACACCAGCCCGUGAAGAGCUGCAGAGAGCGAUGAGGCUCACAAUCACCUGCAGGGCAAACAACUUUGAUGAUGAUGAGCAGGGCAUAACCAUUACCUGGUGGAUGGUGAGACCAAGACUUCACAUAAUGAAGAGGAAGCACUUUGACACCAAUGAGGACGCUUCCCUCUCCAUCACCGUUCAAGCAACAGAGGAAGGAGGGAAUUACAACUGCAUGAUGGAAUCUCCAGACCGGCCUAACCUCUUCACUUCGCAAAUUGCCCGGAAAACAGGACAAGGCGUGAGCACCAGCCCCAAUGCAUCUUUCUACCAGCUCCCCAGUGUGAACCUCAAGUCUGCCGCAUCACUGUCUUUCAUCACUUGCACAGUCUAUGCGUUAUUCCCUGAAGACGUCAUCAUCCAGUGGGAACAGAAUGGCAACCCCCUGCCGGAAAAGAGCGACAUCAGAACCACAGUGUAUACAGACUAUGAAAAACGCAGAAGCAUGCUGAGAAUCCCCAAUACUGAAUGGUCCAGUGAGCAUACAUUCACCUGUGUGGUUUCCACAGCGACCUAAGCAUGGAGGUCAUCCAGAGAACCAUGGAGAAAACCCAAGCGACAUCGUGAAGACUGGCCUCUUCCUAGGGCUUCCUCUCUUCACCCUCUCCCAGAAUUUCCAAACUGAAACCUUUAUGGAUAAUUUGCAGGCACACUUGUGUGGCCUAUCAAUAAAGAGGAGCCAGUCAUUGAUACCCCUGGUUGCGACCUCUU